UGAGGAAUAUUGGUCAAUGGACGAGAGUCUGAACCGGCCAAGUAGCGUGCAGGAUGACGGCCCUAUGGGUUGUAAACUGCUUUUGUUUGGGAAUAAUCGACAUUACGUGUAAUGUUUUGCAUGUACCAUUCGAAUAAGGACCGGCUAAUUCCGUGCCAGCAGCCGCGGUAAUACGGAAGGUCCAGGCGUUAUCCGGAUUUAUUGGGUUUAAAGGGAGUGUAGGCGGUUGGUUAAGCGUGUUGUGAAAUGUAGAUGCUCAACAUCUGACUUGCAGCGCGAACUGGCUGACUUGAGUACACACAACGUAGGCGGAAUUCAUGGUGUAGCGGUGAAAUGCUUAGAUAUCAUGAAGAACUCCGAUUGCGAAGGCAGCUUACGGGAGUGUUACUGACGCUUAAGCUCGAAGGUGCGGGUAUCGAACAGG
rnacentral:rRNA from 1 species